GUUGGGAAAUGACGAGAACAUAUUCCAGAGGUUGUUUCUGAGGGUAGAUAAAUGCUACCUACCUGUUGAUUAUACCUUGCACGUCAGUCUGAUCCCAUA
rnacentral:snoRNA from 1 species